rnacentral:rRNA from 1 species
UGAUCAUGGCUCAGAUUGAACGCUGGCGGUAGGCUUAACACAUGCAAGUCGUGCGAGAAAGUACCUUCGGGUGCGAGUAGAGCGGCGGACGGGUGAGUAACGCGUAGGAAUCUACCUAGUAGAAGGGGAUAGCCCGGGGAAACUCGGAUUAAUACCGUAUACCUCCUUAGGGAGAAAGAGGGCUUAGCUUUGAUGCUCUCGCUAUUAGAUGAGCCUGCGUAAGAUUAGCUUGUUGGUGAGGUAAUGGCUCACCAAGGCGACGAUCUUUAGCUGGUCUGAGAGGACGAUCAGCCACAUUGGGACUGAGACACGGCCCAGACUCCUACGGGAGGCAGCAGUGGGGAAUAUUGGACAAUGGGCGCAAGCCUGAUCCAGCCAUACCGCGUGUGUGAAGAAGGCUUUCGGGUUGUAAAGCACUUUAAGUAAGGAGGAAAAGAUUGUAGUUAAUACCUGCAAUCCGUGACGUUACUUACAGAAUAAGGACCGGCUAAUUCCGUGCCAGCAGCCGCGGUAAUACGGAAGGUCCAAGCGUUAAUCGGAAUUACUGGGCGUAAAGCGCGCGUAGGUGGUUUUUUAAGUUGGAUGUGAAAGCCCUGGGCUCAACCUAGGAACUGCAUCCAAAACUAGAUGACUAGAGUACGAAAGAGGGAAGUAGAAUUCACAGUGUAGCGGUGGAAUGCGUAGAUAUUGUGAAGAAUACCAAUGGCGAAGGCA